GAUGAACGCUGGCGGCGUGCCUAAUACAUGCAAGUCGAGCGAACAGACGAGGAGCUUGCUCCUCUGACGUUAGCGGCGGACGGGUGAGUAACACGUGGAUAACCUACCUAUAAGACUGGGAUAACUUCGGGAAACCGGAGCUACUACCGGAUAAUAUAUUGAACCGCAUGGUUCAAUAGUGAAAGACGGUUUUGCUGUCACUUAUAGAUGGAUCCGCGCCGCAUUAGCUAGUUGGUAAGGUAACGGCUUACCAAGGCAACGAUGCGUAGCCGAUCUGAGAGGCUGAUCGGCCACACUGGAACUGAGACACGGUCCAGACUCCUACGGGAGGCAGCAGUAGGGAAUCUUCCGCAAUGGGCGAAAGCCUGACGGAGCAACGCCGCGUGAGUGAUGAAGGUCUUCGGAUCGUAAAACUCUGUUAUUAGGGAAGAACAAAUGUGUAAGUAACUAUGCACGUCUUGACGGUACCUAAUCAGAAAGCCACGGCUAACUACGUG
rnacentral:rRNA from 1 species